ensembl:lncRNA
CGGAAGAGGGUAGAGCCAGGAUCCAGCCCUUCCCAGACCUCAUUUAAGGGUUGGCAGUGGAGUCAAGGUUAUGCUUGCUUGCUGGAGAUCCCUAUUCAUCUGAGGCCUCAGAAGGGUGCAGCAGGGCCACGGCGCUGGAAUCCGGCCCGGCCCAGUGCCGGCGUUGGCAGCGGCCUUCCCAUUAUAUCAGGAAGGGCCAUAUCCCGUCGCCGCCAUGCCCCAGCCCCCCCGACUCGCCUCAGCUGUCUGCAGGACCUGGAGCCGGACAGAGGGUGCCCUGGAAGAAGCAGAGCUGUUGGUCUGAGGUGUGGAAAGCCAGCGAGUCUGGAUGCGACCAUUGCUGCGUGGCGGACAGGGGUCCAGAGAUAGAGAGCAAGGGAGAAAGGCUGUUUGGCAGGGAGGCUGGAAAGAGAAGACUGGGACAGAUUUUCCACCAGAUGCUCCCCAGAGCAAAGGCAAUUUCCAGACAAGUUUAUUUACAGCUACAGUUGUGUAUUGUUUACAAACUCACACCUCCUGAAAAGCAAAAGAGGGAGGGAAAAUUACUAGAAACAGAAAAAAAAAAAAUGCAUGAACAAUCUUACUG